GCCAUACCACCCUGACUGUGCCUGAUCUUGUCUGAUCUUGGAAGCUAAGCAGGGUCAGGCCUGGUUAGUACUUGGAUGGGAGGACCUUCAUGGUAAGAAGGCAC
ensembl:rRNA 5S_rRNA 5S ribosomal RNA